UUUCUUUUCUUUCUUUUAUAGUGAAUAGGGUUUGUUCUCAUCAAUCCUGGCUCAGCCUCUCCUCAGAAGAGUAGUACUUUGAAACAAUACCAUUACACCACUAUUGUUAUUCAAAGUAUUCUGCUGGCCAUGAGAUUUUUUUUUUUUUUUUUCAGGACUGGCCAUGAGAAAUCUGAUUCCAUGGAACUUAAGCACUUCAACACGGUUAUCACUGAUAUCAUUGAAUCCUCGGGACUGAGUUGCAUCAAACUCGACUGCGAUGAGGAUGCAGAUAGAAAGCAUGGCCUGUCACGAGCUCGAUAUUGCUAAGCUGCAGUAAACGAUCAAUCUGAUCCUUCCUAGAAGGGGGCAAUGCGCAACAAAAGAAAAGAACUUUCCUGCUGCAGCCAAUAGUCAGGAAGAACUGGCAGUUGGUUUCUGCCAUUUCAAAAAUGACAUGUAAAAGAAAUUACUUCAAAAUGAUUGUCAGGAGGUCCAAGUAAUUGACUGGUUCUUAUUGAAUGCGCAACUUUAUACUCA